CCAGCUACUGCCCUGCCAGGUCCUCCCUUCAGCUGCUUGGCCCAGCUACUGCCCUGCCAGGUCCUCCCUUCAGCUGCUUGGCCCAGCUACUGCCCUGCCCGGUCCUCCCUUCAGCUGCUUGGCCCAGCUACUGCCCUGCCAGGUCCUCCCUUCAGCUGCUUGGCCCAGCUACUGCCCUGCCAGGUCCUCCCUUCAGCUGCUUGGCCCAGCUACUGCCCUGCCAGGUCCUCCCUUCAGCUGCUUGGCCCAGCUACUGCCCUGCCAGGUCCUCCCUUCAGCUGCUUGGCCCAGCUACUGCCCUGCCAGGUCCUCCCUUCAGCUGCUUGGCCCAGCUACUGCCCUGCCAGGUCCUCCCUUCAGCUGCUUGGCCCAGCUACUGCCCUGCCAGGUCCUCCCUUCAGCU